GAGCUCAACGAGAACAGAAA
rnacentral:snRNA from 1 species